CCCUUCCUCAAAGGCCCGUGGCGGUUUUCUGCAUCUUGUCUUUCACUUUUGGCUUCACUUGUGGCUCUGAGCAUUUGGGGAACCGGGUGAUGUCCCUUGCUGUGCCCUCUGUGCUGCUCACUGGGUACUCUGUUGGAUAGAGGGACAAAUCUCUUCCCUUCUGGACUUGUUCAGGUCCUCCUCCCCCUCCAUCUGAGCCCCUUGCUCUUACCCUAGCCUCAACUCUGACCUCCAGUCCCAGCAUAGUAAAGCUCUCAGAGCCUUGGCCAAGUCAGCAUUGUUGCUGGCCACCCAGUAGCAUCAGGCAUAGCUGACUUUUGUUCCUUGUCACCUUUCUUCCAACUCUUGCCUCUUUUGUUGCCUUUACUCCUCUGCAAAAACCUCAAACAGAGGCUCAGUCCUCAGUCACAGGGACCCUGGUCUUUCCAUCUUCCAUCUCAGGUGCCAUCUUCCCUCUCUCAAGAGGGCACCAUGGGUGUUGGGUUCCACUCAUGGCCAAGCCUUGUUAUUUCACCUCCCCAGUGACCUCUUGUCUGCACACAUCCUUUUCCUAGCACUUCUAGUCUCAGCUAGCAUCCUCUCCCACCUGGACAUUGCACUGGCCUCCCUGGUUACCUUGCAAUUCUUGCCCCCCGCCCCCCGACCCCCAGGCUACUCCUUACCCUGCAGAGAGCGGGUCUUUCUAAAUUGGAAAUCUGGUCACAUUCUUUCUCUGGUUUAAACCCUUCAGCAGUCUGGGCCUGGUGGCUCACACCUGUAAUCCCAGCACUUUGGAAGCCCAGGAGUUCGGGGCUGCAGUGAGUAUGGAUCAUACCAUUGCACUCCAGCCUGGGCAAUAGACCCCGUCUCAAAGGGGGAAAAAAAAGACUUGGGUUUGAGGCUAAGAGCAGCACGCAGCUGCCAAAGGGUUUAUCUUAAUUUUUUUUUUUUUU
rnacentral:lncRNA from 1 species